GAGUUACCCAGCUGUCAAUCGAUAUUCAUCCUCAUCCCUGUCAUCCCAAGCUUCUGCUGAAGUCAGCAAUAUCACUGGGCAAUCGGAAAGCUCUGAUGAAGUUUUUAACAUGCAGCCUAGUCCGUCUACCUCAAGCCUGAGUUCUACGCAUUCUGCUUCACCUAAUGUGACCAGUUCUGCUCCAUCCAGUGCCAGAGCCUCUCCUCUGUUGUCUGACAAACAUAAGCAUUCCCGAGAGAACUCUUGCCUGUCCCCAAGAGACAGGCCCUGCAGUGCCAUCUACCCCACUCCUUUGGAA
rnacentral:lncRNA from 1 species